CAGCAGUCGCCGCGGGAAUACGUAGGUGGCAAGCGUUGUCCGGAAUUAUUGGGCGUAAAGGGCUCGCAGGCGGUUUCUUAAGUCUGAUGUGAAAGCCCCCGGCUCAACCGGGGAGGGUCAUUGGGAACUGGGAAACUUGAGUGCAGAAGAGGAGAGUGGAAUUCCACGUGUAGCGGUGAAAUGCGUAGAGAUGUGGAGGAACACCAGUGGCGAAGGCGACUCUCUGGUCUGUAACUGACGCUGAGGAGCGAAAGCGUGGGGAGCGAACAGGAUUAGAUACCCGCGUAGUCCCUGUCUCUUAUAC
rnacentral:rRNA from 1 species